rnacentral:rRNA from 1 species
UACGUAGGGGGCAAGCGUUAUCCGGAUUUACUGGGUGUAAAGGGAGCGUAGACGGCAGUGCAAGUCUGGAGUGAAAGGCGGGGGCUCAACCCCCGGACUGCUCUGGAAACUGUACGGCUGGAGUGCAGGAGAGGUAAGUGGAAUUCCUAGUGUAGCGGUGUAAUGCGUAGAUAUUAGGAGGAACACCAGUGGCGAAGGCGGCUUACUGGACUGUAACUGACGUUGAGGCUCGAAAGCGUGGGGAGCAAACAGG